GACGAACGCUGGCGGUGUGCCUAAUACAUGCAAGUAGAACGCAGAAGGAGGAGCUUGCUUCUCUGGAUGAGUUGCGAACGGGUGAGUAACGCGUAGGUAACCUGCCUGGUAGCGGGGGAUAACUAUUGGAAACGAUAGCUAAUACCGCAUAAGAGUAGAUGUUGCAUGACAUUUGCUUAAAAGGUGCAAUUGUAUCACUACCAGAUGGACCUGCGUUGUAUUAGCUAGUUGGUGGGGUAACGGCUGACCAAGGCGACGAUACAUCGCCGAACUGCGAGGGGGGUCGGCCACACUGGGACUGGGACACGGCCCAGACUCCUACGGGGAGCAGCAAUAGGGAAACUUCAGCAAUGGACGGAAGGCUGAACGGGCAACGCCGCGGGAGUGAAGAAGGUUUUCGGGUCGUAAAGCUCUGUUGUAUGGGAAGAAACAGUUUUGGAGUGGAAAGUUCACGCUGUGACGGUAUCUUACCAGAAAGGGACGGCUAACUACGUG
rnacentral:rRNA from 1 species